GACGAACGCUGGCGGCGUGCUUAACACAUGCCAGUCGAACGGAAAGGCCCUGCUUUUGUGGGGUGCUCGAGUGGCGAACGGGUGAGUAACACGUGAGUAACCUGCCCUUGACUUUGGGAUAACUUCAGGAAACUGGGGCUAAUACCGGAUAGGAGCUCCUGCUGCAUGGUGGGGGUUGGAAAGUUUCGGUGGUUGGGGAUGGACUCGCGGCUUAUCAGCUUGUUGGUGGGGUAGUGGCUUACCAAGGCUUUGACGGGUAGCCGGCCUGAGAGGGUGACCGGCCACAUUGGGACUGAGAUACGGCCCAGACUCCUACGGGAGGCAGCAGUGGGGAAUAUUGCACAAUGGGCGGAAGCCUGAUGCAGCAACGCCGCGUGCGGGAUGACGGCCUUCGGGUUGUAAACCGCUUUCGCCUGUGACGAAGCGUGAGUGACGGUAAUGGGUAAAGAAGCACCGGCUAACUACGUG
rnacentral:rRNA from 1 species